rnacentral:lncRNA from 1 species
AUGCUUUGUAUUGUACACAUUUCUGGGAUAUUUUAGGAUGCAGUGACUUUUGAUGAUGUGCAUGUGAACUUCACUAAAGAAGAGUGGAAUUUGCUGGGUCCUUCUCAGAUGAAUCUCUACAAAGAUGUGAUGUUGGAGACCUACUGGAACCUUACUUCUAUAGACCAUCAUAUUGAAGAACCAUGUCAAAGUUCUCCAGGACAUACAAGAUUCACACUGCUCUAGCAUCGCCCUACACUGGGGCAUCAAGCCUCCACAGGACCAAGGGCCUCCUCUCCCACUGGUGCCAGAUGAAGCCAUCCUCUGCUACAUAUAGAGCUGGAGCCAUGCAUCUCUCCAUUCAUACUCUUUGGUAGGUGGUUUAGACCCUGGAUGCUCUUUGUGGUCCAGUGGGUUGAUUUGUUCUUCCUAUGGGGUUGCAAUCCCCUUCAGUUCUGUCAGCC